rnacentral:rRNA from 1 species
UACGAAGGGGGCUAGCGUUGUUCGGAAUUACUGGGCGUAAAGGGCGUGUAGGCGGUUGACUAAGUCACGUGUGAAAGCCCCGGGCUUAACCCGGGAAUUGCGCGUGAGACUGGUCAGCUAGAAUCCGGGAGAGGGUAGUGGAAUUCCCAGUGUAGAGGUGAAAUUCGUAGAUAUUGGGAAGAACACCAGUGGCGAAGGCGGCUCACUGGCCCGGUACUGACGCUGAUAUGCGAAAGCGUGGGGAGCAAACAGG